ACGGAUAUGAUGAAAUUGGUAGACAUGUUAGAUUUAGGUUCUAAUGAUAAAUUAAGUCGUGAGGGUUCAAAUCCCUCUAUCCGUA
rnacentral:tRNA from 1 species